CCUGCGGCUCCUGGUGCACAUUAACUUGAACAUGAGUCAGCAGUGUGCUCUUGGAACACACAAGGCAAAUAAUACCCUUGGCUGAAUUAGGUAAACACUAUGACCUGGCCAAGGGAGGGUGCCUUGUGCUCACUCAGGUAUUGAAGUUAUCCAAUACUUUGGGCAUAAAUGCUUUUUUCAUAUAAAUAUCUACAGUUCAAAGACAAACCAGAGUUUUUACUGCAAGGUGUUAAUUUUGCACAAUUGAGAGCACAAGAAAAAUGUCUACUUUUACUGUUCUUCCAAGGUGUUCCUAUACAGGUGAACCAAAAUAAGUAAACCAGCUUACCUGAUCUGCCAUGUCAAGUCUUGCUUUGUGACGGAGAAGAAAAUCCACCACGGACAUAUGUCCUCCUGCAACAGCAAAAUGAAACGCUGUGCGCUUCAGCUGGAAUAAGCAAAGCUUUUUUUGUCAGAAUAAAGAUGUCCAUCUAGAAGAUUUUGGGCUGAAGGCCACUUGUCCAAUGCUAUCACCAAGGACCACUCUGUUGGACCAGGAACUACAGGAAUUAUCUACUCCUUAGAGCCCUCUCAGGCAAGUUCAUCCUACUGCAUUAUCCUAAGUUCACUAAUGCCUAAUAAGGACACGACUUGAGGCAGAAUGGCUGCAGAGCAUACUAAGGAAAAUCAGGAUGGCAUUCACUUAAUUGCAUUUUAUAUGUUACCCAUGGCUAUAAUUUCGGGGAGAAUAAUCACAUAUUUACGGCACAAAAUGAAUCAGAAAUUAAACUGGAUACUUGCAAAAGUGUUUCCAGUUUUCCUAUGAAAUUAUCCAAGUACCUCAAAAUCAUUAUCCUUCCAGACUUCCAUGGGAAUCACAGUAUAUGUGUCAUUUGUAUGACAACACGCAGGCACAAGGAAGAAAAUAAAAAAAGAAAAGAAAAAAAGCAUUUGCAAAUAAAAAUGCACUCCUGCAUCUGUGACAAAGAGCACGGCUGACAGCAAAAUCAUUAUUAUGGACAGCGAUCUUCAAAGAAUAAAUGCCUCAGUCCCAGUUUUCACAGUUAUUAUCCCAUAGUUAUAUUAUUCACAUAUAUUGGAAGUAUCCAACAGAGCUUCCUACUAACUUGAUUUUGAACUCGGGUAAACCAAUGGUCAAGGCAAAUUUAUGGCAAAUGUGGGAAAAAAGGUACAGCACUAAUUAGCUGCAAUUAAUUAUAAUUAGACCACAUUCAUUCCUGCUGACUGCUCUAUCUUACAUGAGGAUGCAAAGAUAAAUGCAUCUCAGGAUAAUCAGGAACAACCCC